rnacentral:lncRNA from 1 species
GGCAUAGCAUUGGAGAUUAUCGUGCUUUGGAAAGAGAAAUAGAAAGGAUGAUUCAAGAAUGAAUAAUUGUGGUUCAAGGCAGUAAUACCCCAAGUGUCACACAUAGUCCUCUACAGGUACAUGACAACGCACAGAUUGUAGGGAUGGUUUGCAAUGAUGAAGGGCUGAUCAAAGGAGUCAAUGAGCCAUUUGGUGAAGUUAAUGAUGUUGAAAUUGUUAAUGGUCUUGGUAAUAUUGAUGUGGAACUCAGUGGCUAAGAUGUCGAGCUUGAUAAUUGGAAAGACGCUCCUUUCUUGACUAGCCAGAGAUGAGUCAUGGUGGUUCAUUGUGUUGUCAUUUCUGUUGUCCGGGUUAUUUCAGGGUUGUAAUUCGGAUAUUGUCUUGUGACUCAAACCCUUAUAUCCUUUUUUACCUAGUUUUUUAGUCGUAGUAACUCAUUUAGUGUUAUCUAGG